rnacentral:snRNA from 1 species
UUAGCUCUCUUUGCCUUUUGGCUUAGAUCAAGUGUAGUAUCUGUUCUUUUCAGUUUAAUCUCUGAAAGGCCUCUAAGGAGGCCAAUCGUGAUUAUUCCUAUUUUUGGUCAUCGGGAGGACUCCUCUGUGCUUGCACAUGUUUCCACCCAAAGUGUCCCUGGUAUCACACUGCCUCCGGGUGAUGCGAAGUCUU